rnacentral:rRNA from 1 species
AAUAGAUACCCUGGUAGUCCACGCCGUAAACGAUGAGUGCUAAGUGUUAGAGGGUUUCCGCCCUUUAGUGCUGCAGCUAACGCAUUAAGCACUCCGCCUGGGGAGUACGGUCGCAAGACUGAAACUCAAAGGAAUUGACGGGGGCCCGCACAAGCGGUGGAGCAUGUGGUUUAAUUCGAAGCAACGCGAAGAACCUUACCAGGUCUUGACAUCCUCUGACAACUCUAGAGAUAGAGCGUUCCCCUUCGGGGGACAGAGUGACAGGUGGUGCAUGGUUGUCGUCAGCUCGUGUCGUGAGAUGUUGGGUUAAGUCCCGCAACGAGCGCAACCCUUGAUCUUAGUUGCCAGCAUUCAGUUGGGCACUCUAAGGUGACUGCCGGUGACAAACCGGAGGAAGGUGGGGAUGACGUCAAAUCAUCAUGCCCCUUAUGACCUGGGCUACACACGUGCUACAAUGGAUGGUACAAAGGGCUGCAAGACCGCGAGGUCAAGCCAAUCCCAUAAAACCAUUCUCAGUUCGGAUUGGUAC